AGGCCACAGGAUUGAACCCAUGACCUCGCUGUGAAGCAACAGUGCUAACCACUAAUCCACCGUGCUGCCCGGUUUCAUAAACAUUUGUAACAAAAAUCAAUAAAAUGGUGCAAAAUUAACCACACAAACAGUAAAAAAUACACAUUUGCUGCUGAUCUCCAGCCAAAAGCAUGCUGCUUCAUGAAUUGUUUUGCUCCUAUAUGUCUGAAAAAAGGAAAGUUAAUUUUAUGUCACAUUUUAAUCAAGGUUGUAGAAUGCUUAAUUUCCAACGAUUCCAAAUUACAAGAAAGCAGUAAAAAUGUUACUAAACCCUGAGCUUUGUUCCGAGCUCUGCAGAGCCUCUGUGUAAGUCACACUGCCGUUUUUUUUCUCUUGCAUUCACAAUCCUGAAGGCCAAAAGAGAAGCAUUGCUUAAAAUGGGAAGGGACAGUCAGUGCCCCUCUAGUGGUGUGUUGUUAUACACAGAAUUUUUAUUUCUGAAGUGACACCAGCAAGUAAUUUCACCAUUUUAGGUCAUGAUUUGAGUGAAUCCAUUAAAUUUGCUGACACGUUUGCAGACAUUUAAAGAAGCCAUGUAGGCAGCUGACCACCAGAGGGUGUAGUUUGACGCUUUCCCCUCCCCGUAGAGUGACAGCAGUCUGUGUCCACUGAUCACUGUAAACCAGACUUGUAAUUGUGGUUGCCAGUCUACCUGCCCUCAUGUAGAGACCACCCUCUCCUGUUCCAUGUGCAACUAGCUCCACCUCACAGAGGUGGAUGGACAUCAGUUCUGAACCUCAUCUGGAUGUGGCGUGCUGUCUCUGGUGAUCUGGUCUCUUUCGUAAUCGGAUGUGCUCCUUGGCCGGCCUGCAGGCUUUUACAGCGCUGUGUUGUCUUCUUACUGUUUACUGCUGUUUAAUUGUUCAGUCCUUCCAAGUAAAAAAUACAAAAAACAAAAAAAAAAAAAAAAAUCCAUGUGGCGGUCUGCGGUGUUAAGUGUUUACAAAAAGGCCUGAAAAUGGUCGUAGUGUACAUACGAACACCCGAUAUGCUAAUCAAGUCCAAAGUGCCCACAGUUGAUAUAAAGAUCGGUCACAUGACCCAGAAUGUGACAUCACAAAGGGAAGGGGCACAGACAUGAGUGGAACCAAAAA